AGCGGAGAGGGUGGGGGGGAGGCUUUGGGGAGCGAGGCGGGCGGAGUUGCGUAACGGGGGCUCCGUGCCGGGGCAGCGGGCCUCAGCCCCGCCGUCCUAUCGCUGCCAGGCCCUCGCGUAACGCCUGAGGGGCGGGGGCCGCGCCGCCCUCCCGCUUGGCUCCGUUGGCGGGGCGUGGCCGCCUUGGCACAGGCGGCCGAUAAUGGCUUCCCGGAGCGGGCAGCGGGCACGGCGCUGCCUGCGGGCGGCAGCGGCGAGAGGAAGGGCGCCUCAGCCCGGCCGCAGCCGCCCCCCGUGGCUUCCCUACCGCCGUUAACCGACGGUGUACCAGGUAACGUUCACCUCAGUGAUGUUUUCAGAGUGGCUCCUCAAGGUGUUUUCUGAAGUGUGCUGAGGCUGGCGUGACUUCCCAGCGUACUGGCUGAAGAUCCGGCCAAGACAAAGUCUCGAAUAGUGCAAAAGACUCGAAUCAAUAUGUCUGUGCUCACCCCAAAAGCAAAACCGUGUGCGCUCUUUCUGAUGCAAUUGCAGGUAGAACAAAAAGCCACCUGAGUUCAGAAAGGUUGCGUAGCUUCAUAAAAUAGCCAGUAGCCAGUUGGUUAGAGUAUCAAUGCAAGAGGCAAGGGAUCGUGUUUAAAGCUCUCUUGUUUGAGGUUGGACUCCAGAUAAAGAACGAGUUACUCUUGUUUCUGGGAAUGGGCCGUAUCCAGGUAAUAGCAAAAAUAUUAAUAAAGUUAUGAUCAAACAUCUA